rnacentral:rRNA from 1 species
UACGAAGGGGGCUAGCGUUGUUCGGAUUUACUGGGCGUAAAGCGCACGUAGGCGGAUUGUUAAGUCAGGGGUGAAAUCCUGGAGCUCAACUCCAGAACUGCCUUUGAUACUGGCAAUCUAGAGUCCGGAAGAGGUGAGUGGAACUCCUAGUGUAGAGGUGGAAUUCGUAGAUAUUAGGAAGAACACCAGUGGCGAAGGCGACUCACUGGUCCGGUACUGACGCUGAGGUGCGAAAGCGUGGGGAGCAAACAGG